rnacentral:misc_RNA from 1 species
CUCAUCAUUGGGAACUUCAGUAGUCUCAACUGAGAUUUCAGUUGUACACUCCUUCACUUCAUAUUCCUUUGCUUCAGAGCUCUCCUCUGAACUCUGAACCUCAGGAACCCCAUUGAUAGGCUCAUAGGACUCUAGAACAUCAUGAUGAUUGGGAACAGUUUCAUGAUUUAAAUCAUGGGAAACAUCAUUCGAAUAAACUAUGACACAAUCUGGCUCCUUGUCCAUGCAUAUAUCUGUAACUUCUACUCCCAUUGCAGGAUUAAGGUCCGAUCUGAGAAGAAAUGAAGGGGCAGAGUUUGCGCUGGUAGUUCCUUGGUUUUAUUUGCCUUACCCAGCUGUGCGCGUGUUAAUGUGCGG